UGAAAAUGCUUUUGAGAUAUGAAUGUGGUAUUUAACCUCUUUCAACUUACUUUUGUAAAUACCUUUUACAGAUACUUUCCAUUCCAAGUCACGUAGUUGACCCACCAAGUGUUGGCUCUGAUUCGUACACCUCGUUCCAGUGACUGGUUGCACUGCUUUGCUAUUGCCGUGGGUGUGAGCAUCUCGGUUAGGUGUGCAGGUAGGCACCUCACCUGUAGAUAACCGACCCGUCGUGCGCAGAGUGUAACGCUUCUCCGAGUGAUGCUGGGUGUCAGAGUGCCUCGUGUAGCCUGCUGUAGCUCCGUGCCGUGCUGUGUGUCCUGCAGCUCGUGACUCGCUUUUGAGAUGUGUUGCGUAGUGAAUGUGGAACAUAGACCAGUGUAACCUUAGCUCUUGGUGGCGUAGAAGUUUUUAGGUGUGAUUUGCUCACGUACCGAUCUGUAUUUGGCAGCUAAUAAUAACGUGAAUGACCACGAAUUCUCUUUGUCUGGGCUGGAAAACAAAAGGUUUUGUCGUAUCCGCAUGUAUUUUAAACUUUUGGAUAAUUCCACCCAACUGUGAUGACAGCAC
rnacentral:lncRNA from 1 species